rnacentral:rRNA from 1 species
CACGAACCGUACGAACGUUAUUCGGAAUUACUGGGCGUAAAGGGCUCGUAGGUGGCCAACUAAGUCAGACGUGAAAUCCCUCAGCUUAACUGGGGAACUGCGUCUGAUACUGGAUGGCUUGAGUUUGGGAGAGGGAUGCGGAAUUCCAGGUGUAGCGGUGAAAUGCGUAGAUAUCUGGAGGAACACCGGUGGCGAAGGCGGCAUCCUGGACCAACACUGACACUGAUGAGCGAAAGCCAGGGGAGCAAACGGG